UACAGAGGGUGCAAGCGUUGUUCGGAAUUAUUGGGCGUAAAGGGCGCGUAGGCGGUGCCACAAGUCACCUGUGAAAUCUCCGGGCUUAACUCGGAGCCUGCAGGCGAAACUGUGGUGCUGGAGUGUGGCAGAGGGGGGUGGAAUUCCGCGUGUAGCAGUGAAAUGCGUAGAGAUGCGGAGGAACACCGAUGGCGAAGGCAGCCCCCUGGGCUGACACUGACGCUCAGGCACGAAAGCGUGGGGAGCAAACAGG
rnacentral:rRNA from 1 species